rnacentral:rRNA from 1 species
AACGAACGCUGGCGGCGCGCCUAAUACAUGCAAGUCGAGCGAGAAGACGUAGCAAUACGUUUGUAAAGCGGCGAACGGGUGAGGAAUACAUGGGUAACCUACCCUCGAGUGGGGAAGUAACUAGCCGAAAGGUUAGCUAAUACCGCGUACGCUCCUUGGACUUCGGUUUCAGGGAGGGAAAGACGAUACCGUGGGUAGUCGCGCUCUUGGAUGGGCGUCAUGUCCUAUCAGCUUGUUGGGGAGGUAACGGCUCACCAAGGCUUCGACGGGUAGCUGGUCUGAGAGGACGAUCAGCCACACUGGCACUGCGACACGGG